rnacentral:rRNA from 1 species
UACAGAGGGUGCAAGCGUUGUUCGGAAUUAUUGGGCGUAAAGCGCGUGUAGGCGGCAUGGCAAGUCGGGUGUGAAAUCCCUCAGCUCAACUGAGGAAGUGCGCCCGAAACUGCUUUGCUUGAGUGCUGGAGAGGGUCGCGGAAUUCCCCAAGUAGAGGUGAAAUUCGUAGAUAUGGGGAGGAACACCGGUGGCGAAGGCGGCGACCUGGACAGUAACUGACGCUGAGACGCGAAAGCGUGGGUAGCAAAC